AGAGAAUUUAGCGGAGAUGCUUUAGUGCCUUCGGGAACUCUGAGACAGGUGCUGCAUGGCUGUCGUCAGCUCGUGUUGUGAAAUGUUGGGUAAGUCCCGCAACGAGCGCAACCCUUAUCCUUUGUUGCCAGCACGUAAUGGUGGGAACUCAAAGGAGACUGCCGGUGAUAAACCGGAGGAAGGUGGGGAUGACGUCAAGUCAUCAUGGCCCUUACGAGUAGGGCUACACACGUGCUACAAUGGCGCAUACAAAGAGAAGCGACCUCGCGAGAGCAAGCGGACCUCAUAAAGUGCGUCGUAGUCCGGAUUGGAGUCUGCAACUCGACUCCAUGAAGUCGGAAUCGCUAGUAAUCGUAAAUCAGAAUGUUACGGUGAAUACGUUCCCGGGCCUUGUACACACCGCCCGUCACACCAUGGGAGUGGGUUGCAAAAGAAGUAGAUAGCUUAACCUUCGGGAGGGCGUUUACCACUUUGUGAUUCAUGACUGGGGUGAAGUCGUAACAAGGUAAGCGUAGUGCU
rnacentral:rRNA from 1 species